UACGAAGGGGGCUAGUGUUGUUCGGAAUUACUGGGCGUAAAGCGCACGUAGGCGGAUUUGUAAGUCAGGGGUGAAAUCCCGGGGCUCAACCUCGGAACUGCCUUUGAUACUGCAAGUCUCGAGUCCGAUAGAGGUGAGUGGAAUUCCUAGUGUAGAGGUGAAAUUCGUAGAUAUUAGGAAGAACACCAGUGGCGAAGGCGGCUCACUGGAUCGGUACUGACGCUGAGGUGCGAAAGCGUGGGGAGCGAACGGG
rnacentral:rRNA from 1 species